GCUUAGGCUGUGGACGGUCCUGGGGUGGGGUCCACUAUUCACCUGCGAAGUUGCUCUCCAUAGAAGGGACGACCCUUGAGCAGGGAAGGAGUCUAAUCACACACCAAGGCUCUGCCUUCUUCCUCGAGGGCCACUGACCUCUGGGUUCCACUAAUGCAGUAAUUCCCAGGUGAGGUAUUUGUGGCGUGUGGAGGAACAGGAUAGGGCCAGCACUCUCAGGCACAAGUGUCCACUGCUGUCCCUUUAAAGCUAGGCGUCUCUGGUCACAGAAGGACCCCCAGUGGCUGCCUUCACAUAUCUUAGGUUUAUAAAACGUGCUGUUGGCAUCCACCCAUGUUAGAGAGAAAGAGGAGUAGGUAGACAUCAGCCUUUUCCUAAACAAAUAAAACCAACAAAAUGGAAGGCGGAGUGGGUGGAGCUCUGAGUUUAGAGUUCCCCUGGUCUCUAGUGACAGCCAGGCUCUGAGACCCUGAUUUUUUUUUGGGGAAAAGUCUUAUGUUUCUAGAAGUGUUGAUUGACUUUUGUUGUAUAGUUGGUUUUGGUGUUUUGAGAUGGGAUUCCACUCUGUGUGGCCCAGGCUGGCCUUGAACUUGGGGCUGUGGGAUCGUGCUGCCCAAAGCCUCAUUCCUGACUUUUAUUAUUCUUUUGCUUUUUGUUUUUGAGCCAGGGUCUCUAGCUGGCCUAGAAUUUGCUUUUGGAUCUUUUAAGGCUCUUCAAAAGUAGAAGACAUGUUUGUUGGCUCCUAAUCUUCUUUCCUAAAUGACUCCGUGAAGAGAGCCAGAGCCUCUGUCUUUGACCCCGCCCUGGGUAUGUCAGAGCUGGGAGCCCACGACUCUGACUCUGCCUCUGCCGAUGGAAGGAAGCCUGGGGCUGUGCUUCUCAGUCGCUCUGUCUUUGUGGCUGCUUUGUGGCCCCUGACGUCCUGAGUGCGACUUCAGCACCUGGGACAGGGAGUUUAACCUUGGUCUUGGCCUGGGCUGCACUUAUGGCUGCCCUACUUUGUGAGGCUCCUUCCCUGGGCUUCCAGCUGUGGACACUUCUACCUUUGGGGAUCUGAUGGCAUAUGCCUCACAGCCAUCACAAACACUGUGCACACUUUGUGUUUUCUUUUCUGCCUUAGUAGCUACUACUUGAGAUGCCUUUUUCCUGAAACUGUGGAGGAGUCUGGCUUUUUCUAUCAUCAGCUGACACUUAUGCCUUCAUCAAGCCUAAGGCUGAGCUGAGGGUUUGGCCUGUAGCUCACAGGCAGAUCAAGCUGUGUUAUUGCUUAUUGGUAGUGACAUUUUAAAAGAGCCCUGCUGUUCCAUGGAUUGUUUGACUAUGGAGUGAAGUCGCCAAGGGAUUGACAGGGGAAGGUGUUUCCCAUCCCCAUCUGGGAGCUAAAGGUGACCCCAGUGUGGGGAUUCUCCUACCUGUGCCUUUACCAUGGCCUUGCCCUCUGCUGCUCUUGUUUUUAAAAGGUGAAAGGACUCCCUGGGGAACUGUGGGAGUCCCUGGUCCUAGGAGGUGCCAGCACCCUGGCUGUCCUGUGCUCUGCGUGCAGACCUCCCGCAGGUGGGCAGGAUCUAGGUUCUCGAGUUCCCAGCAUAGCCUUUGUCAGUGCAUUAGGAUUACCUGGGUGAACUUUCCAACCCACACUCCCACCUUAGUGCCCAAUCCCUGAACUCAGGAGGUGCAGUCAGAGUGAGGCUUCUGGCUAGUGGGAACGCUCCAGGUAACUUCCUGUGCCCCGAGGUGUGGGAGCCAUGCCUGGGACCCUAGGUCUAUGUGACCUGCUUUCUCUGUUCAGGGGUGUGCUGGACACCCGAGACACUUGUUUUCAGUGUUGCCAAAU